AAGUCGUAACAAGGUUUCCGUAGGUGAACCUGCGGAAGGAUCAUUAAUUGAUCAAUGAUGGGGAUGCCAUUUGGGCUUUCGGGCCUGAAUGUGCGGACCUUUUCAGUUUGUGAACUGUCCUUUACUGUUGUGUUAUUUCUUAUUUGUGAUUUUUUCCUUUAUUGGAAGAAUGAAUAAAGACAACUCUCAGCAAUGGAUCUCUUGGCUCUU
rnacentral:misc_RNA from 1 species